rnacentral:lncRNA from 1 species
UACCCUUUUUGGUUGCUUAAAAGGGGCCCCAAAGUCACACCAUCUGGCUUAAGUAAUGAAGAAAGGGGAACCCUAGCAUUUUUUGCGCUGUUCAGCCCUUGUUCUAUUCUCACAUAUGGUGAAUGGCGCUUCGAUGGUGCCCUUUUUGUGCCCUUGUUUCGUUUCCCGCGCCGUGGUCUGCGAAUUUUGGCCUUGGAAUCCUCUCACCCUUCGACGCCGACAAAGAUGGUGGAUUCUAGUGGCUCGCAUGUGAAGGUAAGUCCCUUUUUUCUUUACUUUAUUUACUCUCGAAUAAUAAAGAAGAACACAAGACAAGGAACAAGCAAAAGAAAGGGAACGCCUGCAAAUCUAAAUCGGAAACAUCACCUUCGAAUCUUGGUGGCCUUUUCUUUGUAUUCAAUAUGCAAAUAGUGUCUGUUUGUAUUGCGUUUUCAAACGUGUCCUUUAUUACAAGGUUAAAAUCUGGCUUUAUAGCCGGAAAGAAAGAGGAAAAAUAAAUCAAAAUACAACAUUUUCUUUGUUUUGUUUUUUUUCACUGCUGUGUUUGCCUCAUUCGUUUACAGGUACAGAGUACGGGUUACGGGCGUGGCGCCAGGAGGCUGGGGCGUAUAGAGCUGUUGACGUGGCUGUUGGAGGCCUGGAGGCUGAGUUGUACGGCGCCUGAAGGCUGCUGGGGUUGCUGUGGCGCAAGCCAAGGCUACUAGGGUUUCUGCCUUGGCUUUUGUUUUAGACCUUGGGCCUAUUGGGCCAUACGAGUUUUGGGUUAAGGUUUUACACUUAAGCUGGUUAGCUUGUAUUGGGUAUGGGCUUAGCUAUUGGACUGUGGUUUUUUAUUAUUAUUUAUUUAUUUAUUUAUUUAUUUUAUAUAUAGGUUUGGGAUUUUUUAGCAGGCCGGGGACAAAAUUGGUCACUACAAUAUUCAAUAUUCAAUAGAGUAGACCUCGGGUGUUUAGAAGAACUUACAACUGUAUCUUUGCUCCCAAACCUAAUCUGAUAAGCAUAAUCUAGCUAUGUGAUCAAGGAGGGCGCGAGAACAUUUGAUAAUUAUUAUAGAUUUGUGGAGCCAAUACAUCAAACCUUGAAUUGUGGGUUGAAUCUCUUGGAGAUGUACGCUUUAGAGGCUCGUUGGUUAGAUAGAAUAUUGUUCGUGGUUUGACCAAGUUAGGGGAAGCAAUUCAUAAGUUGUGCAGUGAACGUUUGAAAGAGAAACAACGACAUGAGUCACAUCCUUGGUUGUAAUUUGUAUGAAGAACUAGUGUAAGGCCCAAAUUCUGCCCGGGCCCAACAACCAAAAAAUCAAGAUAAAAAUAAAUAAAAAUUAUAACAGUCCAUUAAAUGUUUAAAGCCCAGUUACAUAACCAGUGACCCAAUAACUAAUGCCCUACAGCCCAAUAUCAAUUACUAGCCCGUUGGGCAAAGUGUUCUGAGAAAGGAAAC